GAUGAAACGCUGGCGGCGUGCCUAAUACAUGCAAGUCGAGCGAACCACUUCGGUGGUGAGCGGCGAACGGGUGAGUAAACACGUAGGUGAUCUGCCCAAUCAGACGGGGACAAACGAUUGGAGACGAUCGCUAAUACCGGAUAGGACGAAAAGUUUAAAAGGUGCUUCUGGCACCGCUGAUGGAUGAGCCUGCGGCGCAUUAGCUAGUUGGUAGGGUAAAAGGCCUACCAAAGGCGACGAUGCGUAGCCGACCUGAGAGGGGUGAACGGCCACACUGGGACUGAGACACGGCCCAGACUCCUACGGGAGGCAGCAGUAGGGAAAUCUUCGGCAAAUGGGCGAAAAGCCUGACCGAGC
rnacentral:rRNA from 1 species